rnacentral:lncRNA from 1 species
UUUCUUUGGACUGAUCAUGCUGUCCUAGUCUCAAGUUGGAGGGCGAAUAGUUCAAGCAAGAAUUUUCAGAAAGAAGGGAGAUUUGCAGCUAGAACUCUAGAAAGGUGGUGUUGUGCUGAUUGGAAGGCAAUGCAAGUAGGCUAUUAUAUAUUACCGAGCCCCAACUCAGUCCUUGAAGCAAUAAACUGAUGUUAGGCUUGGUUGGGUGCAAAGCCAUGUGCUGCAUGGACAAGGAGGGGCCUUCAAGAAGUGGCUGAUAAGGUGCUGCAUGAAGAGUCAAGGUGGAGCAUUGAGCAAAGCCACACAGCAUAUCUGGUCCUAUCUACCAAGUGGUUUAGCGACAAUAGAUCCAAUCUGUUUAGCUGGAAAUCGACAACAGAUAGUCUGAACAAAGACAAAAAUAAACAAAUCAUGGAGGGAACAAUAUGUUAACAGAUCCUUUCCUUUCUUAUAUCAAUUGGGUACAUAUGGAAUUUAAGAGGGUCAGGGUUUUAGAACCUGAAAAGCCACAUAAUGCACAAGCCAUUCAGUGCCUACACACAUUGUCUGAAGUUUCCCCUGUGUUGGGCUGGAUAUGAUAUGGAGAUUAAACCUAACUGAAAGAAAAAAGGAAGUUCCACAAAUUUACAAUCUAUUCUUCAAGGUAGAGAAAGACAUAGAUCCAAACAAGGAACAUGGCUGGCAUAUGGUGGGAAGAAACCAAGUGGGAUUUACAAAGCAUGGAAGCUUUUGAGAGCUGAGCAUGUUUUCUUGCUGUUCAUAGACCACUAAUUUAAUUCAUACAUUACACCACAAAUAUUACUUUUCCCCCUGUUUUCUCAGCAGCCAAACACAACUAUAAGAGUAAAAGAAACGAAACAAAAAAAUAAAUAAAAAUGAAAAAAAAAGUCAUCUGUUUGUAAGUGGGGUUUGUGAGUCAAGCCAAGAGCUAUGGAUCCUGUUGUUAAUUGUUCACAAAUUGGUUUCUUAUGAGACAAAUCCAUGGAGACCCUAGAAAACCCAACUUACAAAGAAGUUAGUCUGUUUUCAUAUUUCUGUUUCUUUUAUUCAUCACUGUGUUUGGCUUCUGGGAAAACAGGGGAAAGUAGUACAUGGCCUGUAGUACUCUAUAUGAAUUUGUGCCUCAUUUGGAUAGCAUACACUCGUAAAACAAACUCUCUUCUGCCUAGAAGUUGAGUAAUUGUAAAAUCAGAUUUUAGAACAAGAAGCAAAUGAGGUUUGGUGAUUUGGCCUCAAUAAGGCCUUCUUUGAUAGCUCAUUCACACUGAGCUGCUUUUUAAUGUUUAACAGAUUUUGUCCACCACUCUCUUGGAGGCAAUAAGCAUUAUACUCUCGAGGGAAGACAAAAAAACAUGAAGAAGAUAGCUUAGAAAUUCUCAUUUUAUAAAUAUUGUCAAACAAGACUUGUGUGGAUCAUUUACAAACAAACAAAAAAGAAGGAUGAUUUCUUUAGAAGGCACAUAGUAGUAAUUGCUCAUUGCUCUGUCCUUGAUGGAAGUAUGCAGAGGAUGAGCAGUUACUUGAACCUAUAGACAUGAUCAAAGCUCUCUCCAAAUCUUUUGCUACACCACGUUGGAUGAAUGAGAUUGCAUAGUCCAUAAAGACUGAAUCACAUGGCAAUAUGAUGGGGCCUUCACUUUGUACCCCAAACUCCUCCUCAGACAUUUGCAAAAGCUGUCUGAAGAUUUCAUUGUUGAGAUACACCAAAGGAAUCACAAAGCGUCUCCUAUCAGCACUGUAAACAACAAAAUGGCCCUUAUCUGCCACUGAUGAUGUACUACAACAGUCAGCAUCCAAAACCAUAUCUGUUCUUGGUAGAGAAAUUCUCUUCCUCUUCAUGGCAGCUAUCUUCUGCCACUUCCUUGCCAUCUUGAUGAGUUUCUUGGGAUUGAUCAUGGUUAUUCACUGAGUAACAAGAGAAAACUUUGAACAAGUGAAGAAAGGGGACUUCAAUCUUUGGAAUCUCGAAUGGUAUUGCUGUGUUGUUUGGGAUGCAGAAUGGAAGAAGGUUAGUUAUAUAGUAAUGAGGACUCAGACAGUAGAUAGUUGUAUUUUUCAUUUUGUGGGGAUCCAAUGAAUGCAAAGCCAUGUGCUGGUUGGACCACAAGGCCAUUAAGAGGUAGGCAAGUUUGGUUGUAUUCUGUGAUCAAUGAAUUCAGAAGUUCAUGACAGCAGAUACUUCUCCUUUCAUUUUGCCAAGUUAUCUGCAGACAUAGCAGAAGAUACGUAUUUUUACAUUUUGCUAAGUGAUCUGCAGACACAGUGGUGCCAUUGAGUUUAGGUGUCUGCUCAUUCUAACCACAGAAGUCCAUGUAUUGGCAAAGGCUCAAGAAAACUAUCACAGAUCAAUCUAACAAUCAUAUUAUUUGGGAAAGGUAAGACGAAGCCCUCAAACAUUUAUGACAAAAUGAGUGGUAUUCAUUUAAAAGUUGUCCUUCCAAGCUGAUUGGGGACCACAGUCUGCUUGCCAUUAGAAGCCAUUUCUCUCACCUUCUACAUCAAACGGAUUUUUAUAAUUGCAAUAACAUUUCUGGAGGUCAGUGAAAGUUGGUGAAUACUGCUAUAAUUCAACCCUGGAGCAAAUCUAAUCACAAUAGCAUUGAAAAGAAAAGCAGGGUUUUCCAAGCUAUGUAGGGGUUAUGAGGCUUAACAUGGUUCUAUUGAACUUUGUGGCGAAGGCUGAGCCAGUGUGAAUGAGUUAUUGCUUUAAAAUCCUAUUCUAAAUUGUUCUACAAUCCAUGUUUAUUCAGAUUUCAAUUUUUAAUUGCUAUUGAGUACUCACCAAAACAUUUUUAUGGAGACAACAAAGUUUGAAGAUUUCAGAAGGUCUUGCUUAAUCUGUUUGGCACUGUCACAAAGUUUGAAGAAAACAAAAUGGCCUUUAUUAGCCACUGAUGUACUACGAGUGCCUGCAUCCAUAUCAGUAUUUGUUCUUGGUGAAGAAAUUCUGUUCCUCCCAAGGGCUGCCCUUCUCUGACACUUCCUUUUCAUUUUGAUGAGCUUCUUGGGGCUUAUCAUGCUGUCCUACUCUCUAAAUUAUUGAUGGAUGGGCAUAUUUUGAAAAACACAUGCAUCAUGACCCUGUUUUUUCUCGUUUCAAAUAAGCACAUCAAGGUGCAUACCAAGGAUGAGAUCUCAUCCUACCUCCUUAUAUGGUUUAAGGACACAUCAUAUUCAAUUUAGCUGGAACCAACCUUUUGAAGUCAAUUUUAUAUUUUCAAUAUCAACUUCUUGAUUUCUUUUAACUACAACAACUCAUUGAUGUGGACAAGAAUAGCAUUUCAGAAGCAUCAGUCCUGUUUUUGGGAGAGUUCAUUGCAAUAUAUCUGGUAAUAUUAGACAAGAAUUUACAAUUUUCCCUCAAUAAGAUUCUUCCAUGAAAGCUUAUUUCCAUAACAUAUUCGUAUUGCCAGCAAUUGUUCUAUUUCACUUUCAACACAUUCUUGCUGAUGAGCAGCAGCUUCUCUCUUGUAAUUAAUUGACAGAAAACUGUAAUGAAUUCAUAGCAAUUUUGCAUAAAAAUAUCCUGAAUUAAUCUUACUUUUUCCUCAUAUUUUAGAUGAUGAAUUAUAUCACCAAGAGAAAAAUCAAGUAAAGGCUAUGUCCUAGGAAUAACUGGUUAGAUGGCUGCAACAAUUAUUUUUUUCAUUUUGAGGCAAUACGCAAUAAUUUAAGAGGGAGACAAGAAACACAUGAAGAAAAUGCCUUUGAAUUCUCACUAUAUAUAUUAUCAAACUAAACUUGUGUGGAUCAUUUACAAAAUUUCAGUAUGACCUCUUCAGAAGGCACAUAAUAGUAAUGGUUCAUUGUUCUGUUCUUGAUGGAAGUAUGAAGAAGAUGAGCGGUUACUUGAAGCUAUAGACAUGAUCAAAGCUCUCUCUAAAUCUUUUGCAACUCCUUGUUGGAUGAAUGAAAUCACAUAAUCCAUAAAGACUGAAUCACAUGGCAAUAUGAUGGGGCCUGCACUUUGUAUCCCAAACUCCUCUUCAGACAUUUGGAAAAGCUCUCUGAAGACUUCACUGCCAAGAUAUGCCAAGGGAAUCACAAAGCGUUUUCUGUCAGAGGUGUAAACAACAAAAUGGCCCUUAUCAGCCACUGUUGACGUGCUGCAGCUGUCUGCAUCCACUUCCCUGUUGAUUCUUUGUAACAAAAUCCUCUUCCUUCCAAGGGCCGCUACCUUCUGCCACUUCCUUGCCAUUCUGAUGAGUUUCUUUGGGCUGAUCAUGCUGUCCUAGUCUCAAGUUGGAGGGAGAAUAAUUGAAGCAAGAAUUUUCAGAAAGAAGGGAGAUUUGCAGCUAGAACUCUAGAAAGGUGGUGUUGUGCUGAUUGGAAGUCAAUGCAAGUUGGCUAUUAUAUAUUACUGAGCCCCAAUUCAGUCCCUGAAACUGUAAACUGAUGUUAGGUUUGGUUGGGUGCAAAGCCAUGUGCUGCAUGGACAAGGAGGGGCCUUCAAGAAGUGGCUGAGAAGGUGCUGCAUGAAGAGUCAAGGUGGAGCAAUGAGCAAAGCCACUCAGUAUAUUUGGUCCUAUCUGCCAAGUGGUUUAGUGACAACAAAUCCAAUCCCUUUAGCUGGAAACCGACAACAGAUAGUCUGAACAAAGACGGAAAAAUAAACAAAUCAUGGAGGGAACAAUAUAUUAACUGAUCCUUUGCUUUCUUAUAUCAAUUGGGUACAUAUGGAAUUUAGGAGGGUCAGGGUUUUAGAACCUGAAAAGCCACAUAAUGUACAAGCCACUCAAUGCCUAUACACAGUGACUGAA